rnacentral:rRNA from 1 species
UACGAAGGGGGCUAGCGUUGCUCGGAAUCACUGGGCGUAAAGCGCACGUAGGCGGCUUUUUAAGUCAGGGGUGAAAUCCUGGAGCUCAACUCCAGAACUGCCUUUGAUACUGGAAAGCUCGAGUCCGGGAGAGGUGAGUGGAACUGCGAGUGUAGAGGUGAAAUUCGUAGAUAUUCGCAAGAACACCAGUGGCGAAGGCGGCUCACUGGCCCGACUAGUGACGCUGAGGUGAA